AGUCAAUGCCUUAUGUGGAAUUGGUCAGCGAAACGAGGUCCAACCAAAUGGACAGCAAGCGCGCAUGCAUGGCAGCUGACUGGGCAAAAGCCCUAGCAUAAAACCAGAGGGCGGAGCACUGUUCACGCGUAAUUUUUUUUUGCAGAAAUUAAAUCUAAACACAUCACUAGAAAGCUCUUGCCAUGCACAACACGAAUCUAACAUCAAUUUGGUCUAAAUCAUCAUGAACAAAGCGAAUCGAGCAGA
rnacentral:lncRNA from 1 species